ACAGUCAUCAAUUAAAGAUGUUUGUGCUUUGUGAAUUGUAUCAACUCAAAACAAGUCUCAGAUGUGCGGCAUGUCCCUCGUCAAUGUAAAGAAUCCUUAGGGAGUCUCAUUGGUAGGAAUCCAAAGAGUUUCGGAAAGUUAUUCAAGAUCCUUCCUUAAUAAGGAUGUCAGCUGCAAGGGGAACGGUUUACAACGAAAGCUCUAGAGCGAUGUGAUAUGUAUGAACUUACAAAUACUUUGGUGAAAUAAGAUUUGUCCCGUUUUUGUGAUUUAUUGGGCUUUUUUGGGAGUUAUUAAGGUUGAUCGGUGAUAUGUUUGCAAUGACUGUAGUUGUGAACUUUGAAAUAUAUCUCAAACGAUGUAAUGUUGAUCUUAAGAUAUAUUUAUGCGUAAUUAAUUUUGUUGA